rnacentral:rRNA from 1 species
GUGGGGAAUAUUGGACAAUGGGCGAAAGCCUGAUCCAGCCAUGCCGCGUGUGUGAAGAAGGUCUUCGGAUUGUAAAGCACUUUAAGUUGGGAGGAAGGGCAGUAAGUUAAUACCUUGCUGUUUUGACGUUACCGACAGAAUAAGCACCGGCUAACUUCGUGCCAGCAGCCGCGGUAAUACGAAGGGUGCAAGCGUUAAUCGGAAUUACUGGGCGUAAAGCGCGCGUAGGUGGUUCAGUAAGUUGGAAGUGAAAUCCCCGGGCUCAACCUGGGAACUGCUUUAAAAACUGCUGAGCUAGAGUACGGUAGAGGGUGGUGGAAUUUCCUGUGUAGCGGUGAAAUGCGUAGAUAUAGGAAGGAACACCAGUGGCGAAGGCGACCACCUGGACUGAUACUGACACUGAGGUGCGAAAGCGUGGGGAGCAAACAGGAUUAGAUACCCGGGUAGUCC